rnacentral:rRNA from 1 species
AUGAACGCUGGCGGCGUGCUUAACACAUGCAAGUCGAACGGAAAGGCCCAAGCUUGCUUGGGUACUCGAGUGGCGAACGGGUGAGUAACACGUGGGUGAUCUGCCCUGCACUUCGGGAUAAGCCUGGGAAACUGGGUCUAAUACCGGAUAGGACGAUGGUUUGGAUGCCAUUGUGGAAAGUUUUUUCGGUGUGGGAUGAGCUCGCGGCCUAUCAGCUUGUUGGUGGGGUAAUGGCCUACCAAGGCGUCGCCGGGUAGCCGGCCUGAGAGGGUGUACGGCCACAUUGGGACUGAGAUACGGCCCAGACUCCUACGGGAGGCAGCAAUGGGGAAGAUUGCACAAUGGGCGCAAGCCUGAUGCAGCGACGCCGCGUGGGGGAUGACGGCCUUCGGGUUGUAAACUCCUUUCGCUAGGGAAGAAGCGUUUUUGUGACGGUACCUGGAGAAGAAGCACCGGCUAACUACGUG